rnacentral:rRNA from 1 species
AUUGAACGCUGGCGGCAUGCCUUACACAUGCAAGUCGAACGGUAACGGGCCUUCGGGUGCCGACGAGUGGCGAACGGGUGAGUAAUGUAUCGGAACGUACCCUUCAGUGGGGGAUAACGUAGCGAAAGUCACGCUAAUACCGCAUAUUCUGUGAGCAGGAAAGCAGGGGAUCGCAAGACCUUGCGCUGAUUGAGCGGCCGAUAUCAGAUUAGCUAGUUGGUGAGGUAAAGGCUCACCAAGGCGACGAUCUGUAGCGGGUCUGAGAGGAUGAUCCGCCACACUGGAACUGAGACACGGUCCAGACUCCUACGGGAGGCAGCAGUGGGGAAUUUUGGACAAUGGGGGCAACCCUGAUCCAGCCAUGCCGCGUGAGUGAAGAAGGCCUUCGGGUUGUAAAGCUCUUUCGGCCGGGAAGAAAUCGUAUCAGCUAAUACCUGGUGCGGAUGACGGUACCGGCAUAAGAAGCACCGGCUAACUACGUGCCAGCCGCCGCCGUAAAAC